GAUGAACGCUGGCGGCGUGCUUAACACAUGCAAGUCGAACGGAAAGGCUCCUGCUUGCAGGGGUACUCGAGUGGCGAACGGGUGAGUAACACGUGGGUGAGCUGCCCUUCACUUCGGGAUAAGCCUGGGAAACUGGGUCUAAUACCGGAUAGGACGAUGGUUUGGAUGCCAUUGUGGAGAGUUUUUCGGUGUUGGGUGAGCUCGCGGCCUAUCAGCUUGUUGGUGGGGUAAUGGCCUACCAAGGCGUGGACGGGUAGCCGGCCUGAGAGGGUGGACGGCCACACUGGGACUGAGCUACGGCCCAGCCUCCUACGGUACGCAGCGGUGGGGAAUAUUGCACAGUGGGCGCAAGCCUGAUGCAGCGACGCCGCGUGGGGGAUGACGGCAUUCGGGUUGUAAACUCCUUUCGCUAGAGACGAAGCGAAAGUGACGGUACCUGGAGAAGAAGCACCGGCUAACUCCGUG
rnacentral:rRNA from 1 species